CCUACGGGGUGCAGCAGUGAGGAAUAUUGGUCAAUGGACGAGAGUCUGAACCAGCCAAGUAGCGUGAAGGAUGACUGCCCUAUGGGUUGUAAACUUCUUUUAUAAAGGAAUAAAACGAGGCACGUGUGCCUCUUUGCAUGUACUUUAUGAAUAAGGAUCGGCUAACUCCGUGCCAGCAGCCGCGGUAAUACGGAGGAUCCGAGCGUUAUCCGGAUUUAUUGGGUUUAAAGGGAGCGUAGAUGGGUUGUUAAGUCAGUUGUGAAAGUUUGCGGCUCAACCGUAAAAUUGCAAUUGAUACUGGCAGUCUUGAGUACAGUUGAGGUAGGCGGAAUUCGUGGUGUAGCGGUGAAAUGCUUAGAUAUCACGAAGAACCCCGAUUGCGAAGGCAGCUUACUAAACUGUGACUGACAUUGAUGCUCGAAAGUGUGGGUAUCAAACAGGAUUAGAUACCCGGGUAGUC
rnacentral:rRNA from 1 species